GCCAAAGCCCUUCCCACCUACCCCCCCACCAGCCCCUCUGGCCCUUGGGUGACAUAUCCCUCAUAUCACCCCUUGACUGCCUUGUUUCCCCCACAACUCUACCCACAGCUGUCCAUGGUGUUGACGCUCACACUGAUCAAGGCUGCCUUUGAAGUUUCAUUUUUAGUAGGUUUCUUAUGUCUGCUGCAUCACUGGGGAGUGAGUGCAGACAUCUUACCUUAAGAAUGAAGACCUGCAAAAAAGUUGCUAUGAAGUGGGCUGGCUGCGGUGAAAGGAAAAAUGGGAUAAUUUUCAAAGAGAAUGAGAGCUACUGAGUCAUCAUAUUGGGAUUGUUUUUUUACAUCAUUUCAUUGAUAUUUGCUUCACAUUAAAUAUAAGAAAGCUUGGUUAAACAA